UUUCAACUCACUACUUUUGUUCUUAUGUCUCUUUAUUCUCCAGCCCUGUUUUCUUUAGACGCUGACUCCUGCUGUCUACCAGAUCCUCGUGGUACAAUGACUGGUGUAGACUGGCUUGUUGAAGUCACUCUCUGGAUCUGAGCAACGCUGGCUGAGCCGUGAUGAAGUAUUCCUAUCCAUCCACUAUGCUUCACAGUGGGAAUCUCUCACUGUUCAUCACCGCUGCCCUAGCAGCCGCAGGCCUUCUCCUCUUCAGAUGGACUGCAGGGGGCCACGAGACUCCAGUGGCAGCCGCUCAACUCUGAACACAGCCACUGCAUAGAGGGUUCAGUGAAGUGAGUGGGGUUGUUACUCCCCACCAAGCAGUGAGU
ensembl:lncRNA LRRC52-AS1 LRRC52 antisense RNA 1